rnacentral:rRNA from 1 species
UACGUAGGAGACGAGCGUUGUCCGGAAUUACUGGGCGUAAAGCGCGUGUAGGCGGAUGGGCAAGUCUGCUGUGAAAGCUCCUGGCUUAACCGGGAGUGGUCGGUGGAAACUGCCCGUCUGGAGGACGGUAGAGGUAGGUAGAAUUCCCGGUGUAGUGGUGAAAUGCGUAGAGAUCGGGAGGAAUACCUGUGGCGAAGGCGGCCUACUGGGCCGGACCUGACGCUGAGACGCGAAGGCGUGGGGAGCGAACGGG